rnacentral:lncRNA from 1 species
AACAUGCCACGCGAGUUUGGGGAACUAAAGGAUGGGGGUUCUGCUCCUCUCCCUCUCCCCGCCCCCCUUUUCCUACGUCAGAACCAAAAGCCAGCACAGAAGCUGCGUGCUGCUGACUGAGCUAGAAGGGGCUUCCGGGGGAGAGAGCUUUCUGCAGAAGACGUGCAUCUAGCAGAGGGGCAGAGUGAGCGGGGAGCUGCACAGGUGCAAGCUCAGAGCAGAUUCUGGAAGAAACAUGAACAAAAUGAAUGGUAUCCUGUUCACUGUCUUCAUUGUUCUGAUUGCUUAUUGCAGUUCUGGAUAUGCCCUGAAGUGUUACAUCUGUGCAGAUAGUCCUUCAUUGUGUUUAACCAAUGCUACUUGCACCCAUGGAGAUGAUAGUUGCUUACAGAUCAGGUUUGGUAUGUAUACUAUCCCAGAGAAUAAAAUAAAUACAGAAAAAUUAACUCAUUCAAAGUCUGUGCAUUUCAAGUCUGGAAAUGUCCGACUCCGGUUUGUUAAUUUAGUUCACGAUAAAAGACCGUUUGAAUUACAUGCUGAUAAUAAUCAUCAGUACAAUUUGUUUUUUGAGCACCUGAUAAAGAUAAAUGGUGGUGUGUGUAUCUGAUGUACAACAUUUGUCAUAUAUCCAGGUAAAUAAAAAAGUCAAAUUGAAGUAGUUCA